CCUAGUGGUGAUAGUGGAGGGGAAACACCCGUUCCCAUCCCGAACACGGAAGUUAAGCCCUCCAGCGCCGAUGGUAG
rnacentral:rRNA from 1 species